AAAAAGAUAAGCUAACUACAAGCUUACGAGUUCAUACCUCGUCCAUGAAGUAUACUUCUCUUUUUA
rnacentral:tRNA from 1 species